GACGAACGCUGGCGGCGUGCUUAACACAUGCAAGUCGAACGGAAAGGCCCUGCUUUUGUGGGGUUCUCGAGGGGCGAACGGGUGAGUAACACGUGAGUAACCUGCUCUUGUCUUUGGGAUAACUUCAGGAAACUGGGGCUAAUAUCGGAUAGGAGCCCCUGCUGCAUGGUGGGGGUUGGAAAGUUUCGGCUGUUGGGGAUGGACUCGCGGCUUAUCAGCUUGUUGGUGGGGUAGGGGCUUACCAAGGCUUUGACGGGUAGCCGGCAUGAGAGGGUGACCGGCCACAUUAGGACUGAGAUACGGACCAGACUCCUACGGGAGGCAGCAGUGGGGAAUAUUGCACAAUGAGCGGGAGCCUGAUGCGGCAACGCCGCGUGCGGGAUGACGGCCUUCGGGUUGUAAACCGCUUUCGCCUGUGACGAAGCGUGAGUGACGGUAAUGGGUAAAGAAGCACCGGCUAACUACGUG
rnacentral:rRNA from 1 species